rnacentral:rRNA from 1 species
GUACUGAGACACGGACCAGACUCCUACGGGAGGCAGCAGUGAGGAAUAUUGGACAAUGGGCGCAAGCCUGAUCCAGCCAUGCCGCGUGCAGGAAGACGGUCCUAUGGAUUGUAAACUGCUUUUAUACAGGAAGAAACACCUCUACGUGUAGAGACUUGACGGUACUGUAUGAAUAAGCAUCGGCUAACUCCGUGCCAGCAGCCGCGGUAAUACGGAGGAUGCAAGCGUUAUCCGGAAUCAUUGGGUUUAAAGGGUCCGUAGGCGGCCAAAUAAGUCAGUGGUGAAAGCCCAUCGCUCAACGAUGGAACGGCCAUUGAUACUGUUUGGCUUGAAUUAUUAGGAAGUAACUAGAAUAUGUAGUGUAGCGGUGAAAUGCUUAGAGAUUACAUGGAAUACCAAUUGCGAAGGCAGGUUACUACUAAUAUAUUGACGCUGAUGGACGAAAGCGUGGGGAGCGAACAGGAUUAGAUACCCUGGUAGUCCACGCCGUAAACGAUGGUUACUAGCUGUUCGGAGCAAUCUGAGUGGCUAAGCGAAAGUGAUAAGUAUCCCACCUGGGGAGUACGUUCGCAAGAAUGAAACUCAAAGGAAUUGACGG